rnacentral:rRNA from 1 species
CCCUAUGGGGUGCAGCAGGCGCGAAAACUUCACAAUGCGGGAAACCGCGAUGAGGGAACUCCAAGUGCCAUGCCAUUGGUAUGGCUGUUUCCAUGUCUAAAAAACAUGGAGAGUAAGGGCUGGGUAAGACUGGUGCCAGCCGCCGCGGUAAUACCAGCAGCUCAAGUGGUGAUCCUUAUUAUUGGGCCUAAAGCGUCCGUAGCCGGUCUGGUAAAUCCUUGGGUAAAUCGUACAGCUUAACCGUACGACUUCUGGGGAGACUGCUAGACUUGGGACUGGGAGAGGUCGGAGGUACUCCAGGGGUAGGGGUGAAAUCCUGUAAUCCUUGGGGGACCACCAGUGGCGAAGGCGUCCGACUAGAACGGAUCCGACGGUGAGGGACGAAGCCGUGGGGCACAAACCGGAUUAGAUACCCGGGUAGUCCACGGUGUAAACGCUGCGAGCUUGGUGUUGGGGGUCCUACGAGGGCGCCCAGUGCCGGAGAGAAGUUGUUAAGCUCGCCGCCUGGGGAGUACGAUCGCAAGAUUGAAACUUAAAGGAAUUGGCGGGGGAGCACCGCAACGGGUGGAGCGUGCGGUUCAAUUGGAUUCAACGCCGGAAAACUCACCGGAGGCGACUGUUAUAUGAAAGUCAGGCUGAUGACCUUACUCGAUUUUCAGAGAAGAAGUGCAUGGCC